CCUCUGCCAGGGCUGAGCCAACUAAUCUGCUCUCUGCACAGUGAGGUCAGAGCAGGCCAACAGCUCUGCCCUCUGUCACCAGGAGACAGAGAUGACCACUAUCUUCUGCAUAUAGAGAACUCAAGGUUCCCUCUGCAUCAUUCUCCAAAAUUCGGGAGAGACCGAAGUCAGACACCUUGCACUGGAGACUGCGUGUUACCAGGAUGUUGCGAGCAGCCAGAUCCCGGUGCACAUAAUUUUGUUCUGAAAGGCUUCCCCCAGGUUUUAUUACCCCUUUGAACCUCACCUCGCUCAAAGCCUGAAGUAUUGUAAUCUGGCCGCGCGUGUCUCCGACGAACCCUCCUGGAACAUCAGAAAGAGUUGUGAAAAUAACAUGGUCAGCAAAUAGCAAAGGGAAAAGCAAGACUUCCAAGGUGUCUGCCCUAGUUGGUUAGGGACAGAGUUCAGGGUAGCACAGAGUGAAGUGGGACCAGACACUGCACCUACUUGGAACAGUACAGCUGGCAAUAAAAUGUGAUGAUUCAUUAA